rnacentral:rRNA from 1 species
CGUGAACGCUGGCGGUAGGCCUAACACAUGCAAGUCGAACGGCAGCACAGUAAGAGCUUGCUCUUACGGGUGGCGAGUGGCGGACGGGUGAGGAAUACAUCGGAAUCUACUUUUUCGUGGGGGAUAACGUAGGGAAACUUACGCUAAUACCGCAUACGACCUACGGGUGAAAGCAGGGGAUCUUCGGACCUUGCGCGAUUGAAUGAGCCGAUGUCGGAUUAGCUAGUUGGCGGGGUAAAGGCCCACCAAGGCGACGAUCCGUAGCUGGUCUGAGAGGAUGAUCAGCCACACUGGAACUGAGACACGGUCCAGACUCCUACGGGAGGCAGCAGUGGGGAAUAUUGGACAAUGGGCGCAAGCCUGAUCCAGCCAUACCGCGUGGGUGAAGAAGGCCUUCGGGUUGUAAAGCCCUUUUGUUGGGAAAGAAAAGCAGCAGGUUAAUACCCCGCUGUUCUGACGGUACCCAAAGAAUAAGCACCGGCUAACUUCGCG